rnacentral:lncRNA from 1 species
GUUUAGGGAACUUUAAAGUUGAGAUUAGUUCAAAUUAAAUUUCAUUUUUAAGUUCAGCAACUUAUUAUUGUGUUGUCCUCCAUGUGGAGGGGGUGAAAUUCCUUAGUAGUGGAUGACGAAUUUUUUGUAAAUAAAGUGAAGAUUAAGUGGUUUAGUUUAAGGGGUGCCUGAGAAUGCUUUUUUUUGGAGGAUGUAAUGUUAUUUUUGUCAUUGGAAUUUCAACUGUAGAAUAAAGUGUGACUCACUUAAUUGAAUAUAAGACACGGGCUUGUCCAAUGAGACUAGGAGUCUUCUACCUAGGUCCUUCGAUGGAAAUAAUGAAGUGGAAGGGCUCUAAUAUUAUGUUUAGACCCCUUCCUUUGGGGUAGAUGAACAACUACAUUAGACUCCAAACCAUAUGUUCUUAAAUGGGUCUAGCAAGGUUGUUUCACUUUUUAUCCAGCAAGGCAAGAAAGGAACCAAUCAAGAUGUCAUGCUUGUUUGGGAGUUUAACUUCUUUCUUUGUAUUAAAACAAUUAGAUCGAAUAUUAUUAUUGAUAUUGUUUCAAACUUUCAAUUUUAUUUAGUGGCUUCAUAAUGUUAGAUAAUCUAAGACAAGUUGUAGAUAGAGAACAUGUCAUGUGAUGUCAAGCCUAUGAUAAUAUUGUGUUAUAAACUUUUGGCAAUAAAUAUUGUUUUUGAUUACGUAGUAGGUUUUUUACACUAUUUUUUAAGCUCAAAAUGUCAAUGUUUUUCACUACCACCUUAUUUUCCUUAUUCUACAAUGUUUAUGGAACCUCUGCAAGUUAGGUUCAAUCCGCUAUAUCCUAAAGUUCUUACAAAUGGAAGUUAGGAUUGCGUUAUUUUUGUAAUAUCUUCUAAUUUUAAGUGUUUUAGCAAUAAUCAUCUGCCUAUUUUGUAAGUUCAAAUUGUUUAAUGUAGCUAUGCUAAAUUUUUAUUCUCAUAGACUAUCCUAUAGCUUCCAUUGCUUGUCAUGCCCAAGGAGAAAUUUUAGUUGUAGCUAUAGCUGUAGGCCACAAGGUUAGAAAUUUCAAACAUUUUUGUUGACUUUGUGAUAUGUAAUAGCUAUACAUGUGGCGCUACAACAUGAGAGGAGAAACUUCCUCACCAACAAUUAUCCUUGAGACGCCACUGUUCACUCUGAGCUGUAGUUAUUUCGUUUCGAAAGUGCCCAAAAACUAUAGACGUUGUAGCUUGUUACCGACUAAUGAUUGUAUUCAGUUUUCAUUGUUGCACAUAUUCAAUCAAUUGAUGCACUUUACAUUAAGAUUCUUCAUUUUGUAAUCAUUCUUUAUUGCAUUGUCAUUUUAUAGAUUGUGAUUUUAGGUACAAUAAAAGUAUAAAUCACAAAAAAACAAAAGGGUAAAUUUUCUGUAGUAUUAUGCUUCUACUUAUUUUAUGAUUUGGUGCAUUUAAACUUUAUGAGCUAAGUUGCAAAUUUAUUUAGUUUAAUUUGUUCUUAGGAUGCAAAUAUCACAUACCUUGGCUACUUAAACAUAUGGCAUAAGAAAGAAUUAAAAAAAGUCGACGCUUAUUAUGGACGGA